rnacentral:ncRNA from 1 species
UAUCUUCAGGGCAGGGUGUAAUUCCCGACCGGUGGUAAUAGUCCACGAAUACAAUAAAUUGAUUAUUGUAUAUGAUUUGGUUAGAUUCCAAAACCGAUAGUUAAAGUCUAGAUGAAAGAAGAA